GAGAAAAGUAAAAGAGCUCCCCUCAGCCAAUAAGGAGGGACGAUCAUGGAUAGAGCUGCCAUCUCAUGCAUUGUGGCAAUACUUGAGAUUUGAUAAAGGAAAAGUUAAUUAAUGUCAAGUUUGGCCAAGUGCAUGGUAUGGGAGCAACUCCUCCUAUGCUUUUCCCACCCAUUGGACUGAAGGGAGCUCCUUUCUCUCUCUCUAUCUCAGCUUUAAUCUUAUCAUCUUAAAACCAUGAUCAAAAGGGCAGAAGCGAAUCGUGGACGAUGAGCCAUAUGUAAACAACUGCAUACAAAUUUUAACUAUAAAUUCUGGUUUUGCUCCUGACAUAUGUAUUGGAAAAGAGAGAGGGCUACUCCUGCAAAGAAAGAAUAGUGAAAAUUUUCGCUCAGUCAGGAUAAAAGAGUACAAAAAGCUCCUUCAAGGAUCAAUUGUUUCCUUGCCUGGAAUGAGAUAUUUUUAGCGGUUCGCUUUCUGUAUUGUUUUUGCACUUAAAAGAGUAAAUUGUUGUACAUGGACUUACCUACCUGAUGAUGAUUAUUAUUUACUUUGAUGUCAUUAAGCAGCUUGGAGCUGUGUCUAUAAACCAACUACUAAAUGAAAUUCCAUACACCAUUUUCCACGUGAAGAGGCAGACAUGUGACUUGCUAAAAUAUCAAUCAAACUACGUUCCAAGUUUUUAUCCUGUUUUCA